CCCUUAGAUGUUCUGGGCAGCACGCGCGCUACAAUGGUCUUCGCAAACGGAUGCAUUCUCGAAGGAGAAUGCCAAUCUUGGAAUCUAUGCCUUGGUCGGGACAGUUGCUUGCAAUUUUUCGACUCGAACCAGGAAUUCCUUGUAAUCGUGAUUCAUCACAUCACGAUGAAUACGUCCCUGCCCUUUGUACACACCGCCCGUCGCUACUACCGAUUGAAUGGUUUAGUGAGACCUUCGGAUUGGUCCCGGCAUGGUGGGAAACUGCCUGGCCGUGGUUGCUGAGAAGAUGUUCAAACUUGAUCAUUUAGAGGAAGUAAAAGUCGUAACA
rnacentral:rRNA from 1 species